AGGACGAACGCUGGCGGCGUGCCUAAUACAUGCAAGUCGAACGGCUUUUCUAUGGAAGCUUGCUUCCACUGAGAAGAUAGUGGCGAACGGGUGAGUAACACGUGGGGUAACCUGCCCAUAAGAGGGGGAUAACAUCCGGAAACGGGUGCUAAUACCGCAUAGUUUUUCUUGAUCGCAUGAUCGGGAAAGGAAAGACGGCCUUUGUGCUGUCGCUUAUGGAUGGACCCGCGGCGUAUUAGUUAGUUGGUGAGGUAACGGCUCACCAAGACGAUGAUACGUAGCCGACCUGAGAGGGUGAUCGGCCACAUUGGGACUGAGACACGGCCCAAACUCCUACGGGAGGCAGCAGUAGGGAAUCUUCCGCAAUGGACGAAAGUCUGACGGAGCAACGCCGCGUGAGUGAAGAAGGUUUUUCCGGAUCGUAAAACUCUGUUGUCAGAGAAGAACAAGUUGGAGAGUAACUGCUCCAGCCUUGACGGUAUCUGACCAGAAAGCCACGGCUAACUACGUGCCAGCCGCAGC
rnacentral:rRNA from 1 species